rnacentral:rRNA from 1 species
UACGUAGGGUGCAAGCGUUGUCCGGAAUUAUUGGGCGUAAAGAGCUCGUAGGCGGUCUGUCGUGCGUGUGAAAUCCCCGGAGCUCAACUCCGGGCCUGCAGUCGAUACGGGCAGACUGGAGUUCGGCAGGGGAGAUUGGAAUUCCUGGUGUAGCGGUGGAAUGCGCAGAUAUCAGGAGGAACACCGAUGGCGAAGGCAGAUCUCUGGGCCAUUACUGACGUGAGGAGCGAAAAGCGUGGGGGA